rnacentral:rRNA from 1 species
GGGUGAGUAACACGUGAGUAACCUGCCCCUGACUCUGGGAUAAGCGUUGGAAACGACGUCUAAUACUGGAUACGACUGCCGGCCGCAUGGUCUGGUGGUGGAAAGAUUUUUUGGUUGGGGAUGGACUCGCGGCCUAUCAGCUUGUUGGUGAGGUAAUGGCUCACCAAGGCGACGACGGGUAGCCGGCCUGAGAGGGUGACCGGCCACACUGGGACUGAGACACGGCCCAGACUCCUACGGGAGGCAGCAGUGGGGAAUAUUGCACAAUGGGCGAAAGCCUGAUGCAGCAACGCCGCGUGAGGGAUGACGGCCUUCGGGUUGUAAACCUCUUUUAGUAGGGAAGAAGCGAAAGUGACGGUACCUGCAGAAAAAGCACCGGCUAACUACGUGCCAGCAGCCGCGGUAAUACGUAGGGUGCAAGCGUUGUCCGGAAUUAUUGGGCGUAAAGAGCUCGUAGGCGGUUUGUCGCGUCUGCUGUGAAAUCCCGAGGCUCAACCUCG